AAUUUGGUUCCCAUUUCAGGGAUUAAAAGGGAAUUAGGUGAAACACCUAAACAGUACCCGCUGCUGUAAGCUCGUUUACGUUACCAGCACAAAAGCCACUGUCCGACUGACGGGAAGGCGUUGUUAACAGAGCAAGUCAGAAGACCUGCCGGUUCUAA
rnacentral:ncRNA from 1 species